rnacentral:rRNA from 1 species
UACCAGCACCCCGAGUGGUCGGGACGUUUAUUGGGCCUAAAGCAUCCGUAGCCGGUUCUACAAGUCUUCCGUUAAAUCCACCUGCUUAACAGAUGGGCCGCGGAAGAUACUAUGGAGCUAGGAGGCGGGAGAGGCAAGCGGUACUCGAUGGGUAGGGGUAAAAUCCGUUGAUCCAUUGAAGACCACCAGUGGCGAAGGCGGCUUGCCAGAACGCGCUCGACGGUGAGGGAUGAAAGCUGGGGGAGCAAACCGG